rnacentral:rRNA from 1 species
UACAGAGGUGGCAAGCGUUGUUCGGAAUUACUGGGCGUAAAGGGCGCGUAGGCGGCCUUCUAAGUCGGACGUGAAAGCCCCAGGCUUAACCUGGGAACUGCGUCCGAUACUGGGAGGCUUGGAUUCGGGAGAGGGAUGUGGAAUUCCAGGUGUAGCGGUGAAAUGCGUAGAUAUGCGGAGGAACACCGAUGGCGAAGGCAAUCCCCUGGGCCUGCACUGACGCUCAUGCACGAAAGCGUGGGGAGCAAACAGG